rnacentral:rRNA from 1 species
AUUGAACGCUGGCGGCAGGCCUAACACAUGCAAGUCGAGCGAGCGGCGGACGGGUGAGUAAUGUCUGGGAAACUGCCUGAUGGAGGGGGAUAACUACUGGAAACGGUAGCUACUACCGCAUACCAUCAGAUGUGCCCAGAUGGGAUUAGCUAGUUGGUGGGGUAAAGGCCUACCAAGGCGACGAUCUGUAGCGGGUCUGAGAGGAUGAUCCGCCACAAUGGGACUGAGACACGGCCCAGACUCCAACGGGAGGCAGCGGUGGGGAAUAUUGCACAAGGGGCGCAAGCCUGAUGCAGGCAUGCCGCUUGUGUGAAGAAGGCCUUCGAGUUGUAAAGCAAUUUCAGCGAGGAGGCUUUACCCGCAGAAGAAGCACCGGCUAACUCCGUGCCAGCAGCCGCGGUAAUAC